UGCCGUGUCCAACCCCAUUUUCUCCCCAUAUUUCCACUUCCCAUCUCAUCCACGUAAAUAUAAAACCUCCAAUCUUAACCUCAAAAGCAAACCUCUAUUUGAUACUUCUUAUUUUCAUUGUGUUUUUGUAUGGGAUGCACAAAGAUAUAUCUUGAGAUAUAUGCAAACGGACAAAAGUAUAUAAUGAUUUUUUUUAUCAGCAAUGAAUUUGACAUGAACCGCCGGCAGAGAUGGUGUCGGAUCAGUGAAAACUUCAGGUACAUGAAGGUGGAAACAAAUUCAAGAGUAAAGCUAAUAGAUGAGUGAAGCUCCAUUAGCAUAUGAGGAAGCAACAUACUUUUGUCUUUUUAAUUCAUCACGAGUCAUGUAUUGUAAUUACACUUUCAUGUUGAAUAGUUUUUUUUUUUUUUUAAUUUAACGAAUUUUAGUCAUUCUUACUGAAUUGUUUUUUAGUACCAUGCAAGUUUAUUUACGUUAUUUUCGUUUUGUAUAUUAUUAAUGAAUAAAAUACAUACUUGCUUAUAUAUACAGUGGAUUCUAAUUUUUUCAAUCCUUAAAGGAUUAAUUCUUAAAUAAUGACUA